UAGAUGGCGACCGGCGCACGGGUGAGUAACACGUAUCCAACCUGCCGAUAACUCGGGGAUAGCCUUUCGAAAGAAAGAUUAAUACCCGAUAGCAUAAUGAUUCCGCAUGGUUUCAUUAUUAAAGGAUUCCGGUAAAGGAUGGGGAUGCGUUCCAUUAGGUUGUUGGUGAGGUAACGGCUCACCAAGCCUUCGAUGGAUAGGGGUUCUGAGAGGAAGGUCCCCCACAUUGGAACUGAGACACGGUCCAA
rnacentral:rRNA from 1 species